AUACCCGCAGCUCAAGUGGUGGCCACUAUUAUUGAGCCUAAAGCGUCCGUAGCCGGACCCGUAAAUCCCUGGGUAAAUCCUGGCGCUCAACGUCAGGAAUUCCGGGGAGACUGCGGGUCUUGGGACCGGGAGAGGCCGGAGGUACUCCCGGGGUAGGGGUGAAAUCCUGUAAUCCCGGGGGGACCACCUGUGGCGAAAGCGUCCGGCUUGAACGGCUCCGACGGUGAGGGACGAAGGCCAGGGGAGCAAACCGGAUUAGAAACCCCAGUAGUCC
rnacentral:rRNA from 1 species